UGUGUAGGCGGUUUGGUAAGUCUGGUGUGAAAUCUCCCGGCUCAACUGGGAGGGUGCGCCGGAAACUGCCGGACUCGAGUGCGGGAGAGGAAAGUGGAAUUCCUGGUGUAGCGGUGAAAUGCGUAGAUAUCAGGAGGAACACCGGUGGUGUAGACGGCUUUCUGGACCGUAACUGACGCUGAAACACGAAAGCGUGGGUAGCAAACAGGAUUAGAUACCCUGGUAGUCCACGCCCUAAACGAUGCACAUUUGGUGUGGGUCAUUCAGUUGAUCCGUGCCGGAGCUAACGCGUUAAAUGUGCCGCCUGGGGAGUACAGUCGCAAGGCUGAA
rnacentral:rRNA from 1 species